GGCUAACUCAGGGUCAUGUAAUUUUUGUCCUUCUCCUGGGAGGACACGCACAAGCAUGCACAUUCCCCAAGCGUGGUUAACUGAAAGCUGAGACUGCACCAAAAAGAGAGGAAUAAGGAGACCCUUCCUCAUCCCUUCCAGUUGAUCGCCUAGCCUCUUUGGACACAGCUGUCAUUCCAGUUUAUGCCCCUCCUUGCCAGAGAGCAGGGAUCUACCUCAAACAAACCCAGCUUCAAGAGGUGUUUUCGGUGAGGACAUCAGGACCUGGAAAGCCGACAGACAACGUGGAAGCUGGAAGAGGGAAGAAAACAUUUCUCUCUGUGAUUGUGCUUGGAAUAUGCUACAGAAAUGUCAGAG